rnacentral:rRNA from 1 species
UACGUAGGGGGCUAGCGUUGUCCGGAAUCAUUGGGCGUAAAGCGCGCGUAGGCGGCCAGAUAAGUCCGGUGUGAAAGUCAGAGGCUCAACCUUUGAAUGCCGCUGGAAACUGUCUGGCUUGAGUCCGGAAGGGGCGAGUGGAAUUCCUGGUGUAGCGGUGAAAUGCGCAGAUAUCAGGAGGAACACCAAUGGCGAAGGCAGCUCGCUGGAACGGUACUGACGCUGAGGCGCGAAAGCGUGGGGAGCGAACAGG